CUCAAAGGAAUUGACGGGGACCCGCACAAGCGGUGGAUGAUGUGGUUUAAUUCGAUGCAACGCGAAAAACCUUACCCACCUUUGACAUGUACGGAAUUCGCCAGAGAUGGCUUAGUGCUCGAAAGAGAACCGUAACACAGGUGCUGCAUGGCUGUCGUCAGCUCGUGUCGUGAGAUGUUGGGUUAAGUCCCGCAACGAGCGCAACCCUUGUCAUUAGUUGCUACAUUUAGUUGGGCACUCUAAUGAGACUGCCGGUGACAAACCGGAGGAAGGUGGGGAUGACGUCAAGUCCUCAUGGCCCUUAUAGGUGGGGCUACACACGUCAUACAAUGGCUGGUACAAAGGGUUGCCAACCCGCGAGGGGGAGCUAAUCCCAUAAAACCAGUCGUAGUCCGGAUCGCAGUCUGCAACUCGACUGCGUGAAGUCGGAAUCGCUAGUAAUCGUGGAUCAGAAUGUCACGGUGAAUACGUUCCCGGGUCUUGUACACACCGCCCGUCACACCAUGGGAGCGGGUUCUGCCAGAAGUAGUUAGCUUAACCGCAAGGAGGGCGAUUACCACGGCAGGGUUCGKACUGGGGKAAGUCGUAACAAGG
rnacentral:rRNA from 1 species